UUAAUGUCCAGGAGAGUGGCCCUCCGCAUGGAGGGUUGACUAGAGAUUUAUCGGUAUGGGAUGAGCUUGCGUCCGAUUAGCUAGUUGGCGGGGCAACGGCCCACCAAGGCGACGACCGGUAGCCGGCCUGAGAGGGUGAUCAGCCACAUUGGGACUGAGAUACGGCCCAGACUCCUACGGGAGGCAGCAGUAGGGAAUAUUGCACAAUGGGGGAAACCCUGAUGCAGCAACGCCACGUGUGGGAAGAAGCAUUUCGGUGUGUAAACCACUGUCAUGAGGGAAUAAGGCCCGCCUCCGGGCGGGAUUGAAUGUACCUUGAGAGGAAGCACCGGCAAACUUCGUGCCAGCAGCCGCGGUAAUACGAGGGGUGCAAGCGUUGUUCGGAAUUACUGGGCGUAAAGGGAGCGUAGGCGGAGAUUCAAGCGGAUUGUACAAUCCCGGGGCCCAACCCCGGCUCGGCAGUCCGAACUGGAUCUCUUGGAUAGUUCAGGGGCAGGCGGAAUUCCUGGUGUAGCGGUGGAAUGCGCAGAGAUCAGGAAGAACACCGAUGGCGAAGGCAGCCUGCUGGGGACUUAUCGACGCUGAGGCUCGGAAGUGCGGGUAGCAAACAGGAUUAGACACCCUGGUAGUCCGCACCGUAGACAAUGCAUACUGGGUGUCCGGGGGUUCCCCCGGGUACCGUAGCCAACGCGUUAAGUAUGCCGCCUGGGGAGUACGUACGCAAGUAUGAAACUCAAAGGAAUUGACGGGGGCCCGCACAAGCGGUGGAGCAUGUGGUUUAAUUCGAAGCAACGCGCAGAACCUUACCAGGGUUUGACAUGGAAACGCCGCGGCGAGAGAUAAUCACUA
rnacentral:rRNA from 1 species